UUUGAUCAUGGCUCAGAUUGAACGCUGGCGGCAGGCCUAACACAUGCAAGUCGAGCGCGAAAGGCUUUCGGGCUGAGUAGAGCGGCGGACGGGUGAGUAACGCGUAGGAAUCUACCUGGUAGUGGGGGACAACUUGGGGAAACUCAAGCUAAUACCGCAUACGCCCCAGGGGGGAAAGCGGGGGACCUUCGGGCCUCGCGCUAUCAGAUGAGCCUGCGUAGGAUUAGCUAGUUGGUGAGGUAAAGGCUCACCAAGGCGACGAUCCUUAGCUGGUCUGAGAGGAUGAUCAGCCACACUGGGACUGAGACACGGCCCAGACUCCUACGGGAGGCAGCAGUGGGGAAUAUUGCGCAAUGGGGGCAACCCUGACGCAGCCAUGCCGCGUGUGUGAAGAAGGCCUUCGGGUUGUAAAGCACUUUAAGUGGGGAGAAAAGGGUGGCCGUUAAUAGCGGCUACCUGUGAUGUUACCCACAGAAUAAGCACCGGCUAACUCCGUGCCAGCAGCCGCGGUAAUACGGAGGGUGCGAGCGUUAAUCGGAAUUACUGGGCGUAAAGCGCGCGUAGGCGGUUUGUUAAGUCAGCUGUGAAAGCCCCGGGCUCAACCUGGGAACUGCAGUUGAUACUGGCCGACUAGAGUACGAGAGAGGGAGGUAGAAUUCCAUGUGUAGCGGUGAAAUGCGUAGAUAUAUGGAGGAAUACCAGUGGCGAAAGCGGCCUCCUGGCUCGAUACUGACGCUGAGGUGCGAAAGCGUGGGGAUCAAACAGGAUUAGAUACCCUGGUAGUCCACGCCGUAAACGAUGUCUACUAGCCGUUGGGAGACUUGAUUUCUUAGUGGCGCAGC
rnacentral:rRNA from 1 species